GAGAUGCCGGGCCCAGAUUUCGCAUAUGUUGUGAUUGUUUCGAUGACAAAACAUCCAUUUACCAUAUAUCCCCGGUUUCGGGAUGGAUGGAUAAUGGCUUUCGGGAAAGUUUCUAUUAUGAUGCAACCUACCUUCAAGUGCCAUUAGUCAGACUUCCUUCCGGAUAUACUGGUCGUUUCGUAUGCUCUAUUGAGCGUCGAGCGCCUGCCGUGAGCGCCUGCCGUAGCGCUCAUACCGCUGAAGCAGAUGCACCGCAGCAGCGAAACAGCUUUGCCAUACCACUGAGGGCGUCCGCUCGAGGCGUAGUUCACUCGACACGGGGUCGGCGUACAUCAGCAUUCUGGGAGCCUGCGAGCUGCGCAGACAGACGUACUGCCUGUGGCAGCGCGAAGCGAUAUACCAGGAUACUUCGGCGACCAAGGCGAUGCCCAAACGCAGCAUACCUGUUCCUAGUCCAAGAAUAAAUUGCGCUGCAGACAAGUUGCUCAGGUCUCGCAACAGCACCCACCACUUUCGAGGCACACUGAGCACCAGCUUAGCAGACCCGUCCGCCUCGCCGGACCUUCCGCCUAGAAGGUAAACUUUCGACAGUAAGGAAACCUUUUGUCCGUUUUAAAGUUUAUCGUAGAGAGGGAACGAGAUUUUUAUUUCGUUGCCUGUGCAUCGCUAGUCUCUGUUCAAAAAUAUCAACGAAUCCCUGAUCAAUGCCUCGUGUUCCUGGACGGAUUUCGCAGCCACGACGCACAACAUGAUCAAACUGCACGUGUUCCGAGUCAUGUUUCGGAUGUUUACAAUUCAAACGAGGAACUAGUACAUCUUCGUUGCGGCUGGAGGCGAGUGUUGUCGCAUGCAGUGCGCAGGUUUUCGUCCAAGUUGUGCUGUGCAGCGUGUAACGCUAGUUGAGGGCCCGCACGUUGCUGGCGCCUAUCGGAGUGCCGCAUGGUGCGCAGCGACAGCUCGUUGCCUCCGCAGGCUAUCGAGCGUCUCACGCUCGCAUCUGUCAAUAACCGACGCUGACCCUUGGUCAUGUUCUUGGUUAGACAGCCCGCACCAUCGAUGCCAUCGCGUGCUGUAGCGAUCGCUCGGAUGUUCUAUCGCGGGGCUUGCUUGCUGUACCCGUCAUCGAUAGACGCGGCUGCUUGGUACGAAGUCUACGCGUCUUCGCCAUCAGGCACUGCUUACGGUGUCAAGCUGGCCUGCUCCUUGCACUGGGUGCGUUUCACCUUUCGUUUUUCUUCGGGGGCGAACAUGUUCUCCAUUUCGUAGAAGCGGUGCAGGAGGGCGAUGGAUUCUUGAGCAAAAUGACCCCCGCUAACACGCAGCGGUUUGCGGUUAGACGGCAAUCCGCAGCUCCCGUCGUGAACUCGGAGCACAGUACCACAGCCGCCAAAUCGUUCGUUUCUACAACCAAAGUAGACGUAGCCACCAACGCCGUGCGCAAUCAGAGCAGCCGUGCACAUAAUACACGGCUCGCAGGUCACGUAGACAUCGGAUUUCGCUAGCAACGCUUCUCGACGUUCCAUAUGAGGGUAACGGUGCAGCACAUCAACCAAACCUACCAAUUCGGCGUGUUUGGUUGCAUUUCGGAGCUCGUUGCAGCGGUUCGCUCCGUAACCGAUAAUCUCGCCGGAAUAUCGCUGAACCAGCAGGCAUCCGACGGGAACUUCCGCGUGCCUUUCCAUUGCACGCUUUCCUAUCUCUAGAGCAAUGAGCAUGAAUUUGGGAUUAAACG